CUGGCGGUAUGCUUAACACAUGCAAGUCGAACGGUAGCAUGGUCUAGCUUGCUAGCAUUGAUGACGAGUGGCGAACGGGUGAGUAACGCGUAGGAAUAUGCCUUAGAGUGGGGGAUAACUUGGGGAAACUCAAGCUAAUACCGCAUAGAAUCUACGGAUUAAAGCUGGGGACCUUCGGGCCUGGCGCUUUAAGAUUAGCCUGCGUCCGAUUAGCUAGUUGGUAGGGUAAAGGCCUACCAAGGCGACGAUCGGUAGCUGGUCUGAGAGGAUGACCAGCCACACUGGAACUGAGACACGGUCCAGACUCCUACGGGAGGCAGCAGUGGGGAAUAUUGGACAAUGGGGGCAACCCUGAUCCAGCAAUACCGCGUGUGUGAAGAAGGCCUGAGGGUUGUAAAGCACUUUUAGUGGGGAGGAGGAUUGAUUGGUU
rnacentral:rRNA from 1 species